UACAGAGGUCCCAAGCGUUGUUCGGAUUCACUGGGCGUAAAGGGUGCGUAGGUGGCUUGGUAAGUUCGAUGUGAAAUCUCCGGGCUUAAACCCGGAAAUGGGCAUUGAAUACUAUUGAGCUGGAGGUUGGAGGGGGACUGGAAUUCUCGGUGUAGCAGUGAAAUGCGUAGAUAUCGAGAGGAACACAGUGGCGAAAGGCGGCUCACUGGCUCGGUACUGACGCUGAGGUGCGAAAGCGUGGGGAGCAAACAGG
rnacentral:rRNA from 1 species